ACACGGAGGUCGCAAGCGUUGCUCGGAAUCACUGGGCGUAAAGCGGGUGUAGGCGGUCUAGCAAGUCAGAUGUGAAAGCCCACGGCUCAACCGUGGAAGUGCAUCUGAAACUGCUAGACUUGAGUGCCGGAGAGGGAAGUGGAAUUCCUGGUGUAGGGGUGAAAUCCGUAGAUAUCAGGAGGAACACCGGUGGCGAAGGCGACUUCCUGGACGGCCACUGACGCUGAGACCCGAAAGCGUGGGGAGCAAACAGGAUUAGAUACCCUAGUAGUCC
rnacentral:rRNA from 1 species